rnacentral:rRNA from 1 species
GACGAACGCUGGCAGCGUGCUUAACACAUGCAAGUCGAACGGAAAGGCCCUGCUUUUGUGGGGUGCUCGAGUGGCGAACGGGUGAGUAACACGUGAGUAACCUGCCCUUGACUUUGGGAUAACUUCAGGAAACUGGGGCUAAUACCGGAUAGGAGCUCCUGCUGCAUGGUGGGGGUUGGAAAGUUUCGGCGGUUGGGGAUGGACUCGCGGCUUAUCAGCUUGUUGGUGGGGUAGUGGCUUACCAAGGCUUUGACGGGUAGCCGGCCUGAGAGGGUGACCGGCCACAUUGGGACUGAGAUACGGCCCAGACUCCUACGGGAGGCAGCAGUGGGGAAUAUUGCACAAUGGGCGGAAGCCUGAUGCAGCAACGCCGCGUGCGGGAUGACGGCCUUCGGGUUGUAAACCGCUUUCGCUUGUGACGAAGCGUGAGUGACGGUAAUGGGUAAAGAAGCACCGGCUAACUACGUG